rnacentral:rRNA from 1 species
GAUGAACGCUGGCGGCGUGCUUAACACAUGCAAGUCGAACGAAGCAUUUAGGACAGAUUACUUCGGUUUGAAGUUCUUUAUGACUGAGUGGCGGACGGGUGAGUAACGCGUGGGUAACCUGCCUUGUACUGGGGGAUAGCAGCUGGAAACGGCUGGUAAUACCGCAUAAGCGCACAAUGUUGCAUGACAUGGUGUGAAAAACUCCGGUGGUAUAAGAUGGACCCGCGUCUGAUUAGCUAGUUGGUGAGAUAACAGCCCACCAAGGCGACGAUCAGUAGCCGACCUGAGAGGGUGACCGGCCACAUUGGGACUGAGACACGGCCCAGACUCCUACGGGAGGCAGCAGUGGGGAAUAUUGCACAAUGGAGGGAACUCUGAUGCAGCGACGCCGCGUGAGUGAAGAAGUAAUUCGUUAUGUAAAGCUCUAUCAGCAGGGAAGAUAGUGACGGUACCUGACUAAGAAGCUCCGGCUAAAUACGUG